ensembl:lncRNA
AGAAAAUGGAUGAUUUUCACUUAAAUCGGGGAUUUUUGAUGAGAAAAUGCAUGAUUUCUGCCUAAAUGAGGGAUUUUUGAAAAGAAAACAGGUGAUUUUUGUGGUAAAUGGGGGAUUUUCAAAGAAAAAAUGGAUUGUUUUCGCUAAAAUGAAGGAUUUUCAAAGAGUAAAUGAAUGAUUUUCUCUUAAAUGGGGGAUUUUCAAUGAGAAAAUGGGUGAUUUUCACUAAAAUGAGGGAUUUUCAAUGAGAAAAAAAAGUGAUUUUUGUGUAAAAGAGGGAUUUUUGAAGAGGAAAUGGGUGAUUUUUGUGGUAAAUGGGGGAUUUUCAGAGAGAAAAUGGGUGAUUUUUGGGUGAAAUGGGGAAUUUUCGAAAAGAAAACGGGUGAUUUUCAGGUUAAAUGGGGGAUUUUCAAAGAGAAAAUGGUUGAUUUUUGCAUAAAUGAGGGAUUUUUGAAAAGAAAAUGGGUGUUUUUCGGGUUAAAUAGGGGAUUUUCAAAGGAAAAAUGCGUGAUUUUUGGGUUAAAUGAGAAUUUUUUUAAGAGAAAAUGAGUGAUUUUUGCUUAAAUCGGGUUUUUUUCGAAGAGAAAAUGCAUGAUUUGGGGGAUAAAAGGGGGAUUUUUGAAGAGAAAAUGGGUGAUUUUUGUGGUAAAUGGGGGAUUUUCAAAGAAAAAAUGGAUUGUUUUCGCUAAAAUGAAGGAUUUUCAAAGAGUAAAUGAAUGAUUUUCUCUUAAAUGGGGGAUUUUCAAUGAGAAAAUGGGUGAUUUUCACUAAAAUGAGGGAUUUUCAAUGAGAAAAAAAGUGAUUUUUGCGUAAAAGAGGGAUUUUUGAAGAGGAAAUGGGUGAUUUUUGUGGCUAAAUGGGGGAUUUUCAGAGAGAAAAUGGGUGAUUUUUGGGUGAAAUGGGGAAUUUUCAAAAAGAAAACGGGUGAUUUUCGCUAAAAUGGGGGAUUUUCAAAGAGAAACUGCAUGAUUUCUGGGUGAAAUGGGAAAUUUUCGAAAAGAAAACAGGUGAUUUUCAGGUUAAAUGGGGGAUUUUCAAAGAGAAAAUGGUUGAUUUUUGCAUAAAUGAGGGAUUUUUGAAAAGAAAAUGGGUGUUUUUCGGGUUAAAUAGGGGAUUUUCAAAGGAAAAAUGCGUGAUUUUUGGGUUAAAUGAGAAUUUUUUUAAGAGAAAAUGAGUGAUUUUUGCUUAAAUCGGGUUUUUUUCGAAGAGAAAAUGCAUGAUUUGGGGGAUAAAAGGGGGAUUUUUGAAGAGAAAAUGGGUGAUUUUGGCAUAAAUGAGGGAUUUUCGAAGAGAAAAUGCAUGAUUUUGGGGAUAAAUGGGGGAUUUUUGAAAAGAAAAUGCAUGAUUUUGGCAUAAAUGAGGGAUUUUCGAAGAGAAAAUGCAUGAUUUUGGGGAUAAAUGGGGGAUUUUUGAAGAGAAAAUGCAUGAUUUUGGGGUAAAUGGGGGAUUUUUGAAAAGAAAACAGGUGAUUUUCAGGUUAAAUGGGGGAUUUUCAAAGAGAAAAUGGAUGAUUUUCACUUAAAUCAGGGAUUUUUGAAGAGAAAACGGGUGAUUUCUGCGUAAAUGAGGGAUUUUUGAAGAGAAAACAGGUGAUUUUUGUGGUAAAUGGGGGAUUUUCAAAGAAACAAUGGAUUAUUUUCGCUAAAAUGAAGGAUUUUCAAAGAGUAAAUGAAUGAUUUUCGCUUAAAUGGGGGAUUUUCAAAGAGAAAAUGGGUGAUUUUCGCUUAAAUCGGGUUUUUUUCGAAGAGAAAAUGCAUGAUUUUUGGGAUAAAAGAGGGAUUUUUGAAGAGAAAAUGGGUGAUUUUUGUGGUAAAUGGGGGAUUUUCAAAGAAAAAAUGCAUGAUAUUCGUGUUAAAUGGGGGAUUUUCAAAGAGAAACUGCAUGAUUUUUGGGGAUAAAUGGGGGAUUUUUGAAGAGAAAAUGGGUGAUUUUUGGGUUAAAUGGGGAAUUUUCGAAAAGAAAAUGGGUGAUUAUCGGGUUAAAUGGGCAAUUUUCAAAGAGAAACUGCAUGAUUUUUGGGUGAAAUGGGGAAUUUUCGAAAAGAAAACAGGUGAUUUUCAGGUUAAAUGGGGGAUUUUCAAAGAGAAAAUGGAUGAUUUUCGCUUAAAUCGGGGAUUUUUGAAGAGAAAAUGGGUGAUUUCUGCCUAAAUGAGGGAUUUUUGAAAAGAAAACAGGUGAUUUUUGUGCUAAAUGGGGGAUUUUCAAAGAAAAAUGGAUUAUUUCGCUAAAAAGAAGGAUUUUCAAAGAGUAAAUGAAUGAUUUUCUCUUAAAUGGGGGAUUUUCAAGGAGAAAAUGGGUGAUUUUUGCGUAAAUGAGGGAUUCUCGAAGGGAAAAUGGGUGAUUUUGGGGUUAAAUGGGGGAUUUUCAAAGAGAAAAUGCAUGAUUUUCUAGUUAAAUGGAUAAUGUUCAAAGAGAAAAUGGUUGAUUUUUGCGUAAAUUGGGGAUUCUCGAAGGGAAAACGGCUGAUUUUGGGGUUAGAUGGGGGAUUUUCUAAGAGAAAAUGCGUGAUUUUUGGGUUAAAUGGGAAUUUUUUUCAGAGAAAAUGAGUGAAAUUCGCUUACAUCGGGUUUUUUCGAAGAGAAAAUGCAUGAUUUUGGGGUUAAAAGGGGGAUUUUUGAAGAGAAAAUGGGUGAUUUCUGCGUAAAUGACGGAUUCUCGAAGGUAAAAUGGUUGAUUUUUGCAUAAAUGGGGGAUUUUCGAAAAGAAAACGGGUGAUUUUUGUGUUAAAUAGGGGAUUUUCAAAGAAAAAUGCAUGAUUGUUGGGUUAAAUGGGAAAUUUUUUAAGAGAAAAUGAGUGAUUUUCGGUUAAGUCGGGUUUUUUCGAAGAGAAAAUGCAUGAUUUGGGGGAUAAAAGGGGGGAUUUUGAAGAGAAAAUGGGUGAUUUUUGGGUUAAAUGGGGGGUUUUCAAAGAGAAAAUGGGUGAUUUUCGCUUAAAUCAGGGAUUUUUGAAGAGAAAAUGGGUGAUUUCUGCGUAAAUGAGGGAUUUUUGAAAAGAAAAGAGGUGAUUUUUGUGGUAAAUGGGGGAUUUUCAAAGAAACAAUGGAUUAUUUUCGCUAAAAUGAAGGAUUUUCAAAGAGUAAAUGAAUGAUUUUCGCUUAAAUGGGGGAUUUUCAAGGAGAAAAUGGGUGAUUUUUGCGUAAAUGAGGGAUUCUCGAAGGGAAAAUGGGUGAUUUUGGGGUUAAAAGGGGGAUUUUCAAAGAGAAAAUGCAUGAUUUUCUAGUUAAAUGGAUAAUGUUCAAAGAGAAAAUGGUUGAUUUUUGCAUAAAUGGGGGAUUUUCAAAAAGAAAACGGGUGUUUUUCGGGUUAAAUAGGGGAUUUUCAAAGAAAAAAUGGGUGAUUUUUGGGUUAAAUGGGAAAUUUUUUAAGAGAAAAUGAGUGAUUUUCGCUUAAAUCGGGUUUUUUCGAAGAGAAAAUGCAUGAUUUGGGGAAUAAAAGGGGGAUUUUUGAAGAGAAAAUGGGUGAUUUUUGUGUAAAUGAGGAAUUUUCGAAGAGAAAAUGGGUGAUUUUCGUGUUAAAUGGGGGAUUUUCGAAGAGAAAAUGCAUGAUUUUGAAGAUAAAUGGGGGAUUUUUGAAGAGAAAAUGGGUGAUUUUUGGGUUAAAUGGGGGGUUUUCAAAGAGAAAAUGGGUGAUUUUCGCUUAAAUCAGGGAUUUUUGAAGAGAAAAUGGGUGAUUUCUGCGUAAAUGAGGGAUUUUUGAAAAGAAAACAGGUGAUUUUUGUGGUAAAUGGGGGAUUUUCAAAGAAACAAUGGAUUAUUUUCGCUAAAAUGAAGGAUUUUCAAAGAGUAAAUGAAUGAUUUUCUCUUAAAUGGGGGAUUUUCAAAGAGAAAAUGGGUGAUUUUUGCGUAAAUGAGGGAUUCUCGAAGGGAAAAUGGGUGAUUUUGGGGUUAAAUGGGGGAUUUUCAAAGAGAAAAUGCAUGAUUUUCUAGUUAAAUGGAUAAUGUUCAAAGAGAAAAUCGUUGAUUUCUGCUUAAAUGAAGGAUUUUCAAAGAGAAAACUGGUGAUUUUCGCUUAGAUCGGAGAUUUUUGCGGAGAAAAUGGGUGAUUUUUGCGUAAAUGAGGGAUUUUUGAAGAGAAAACAGGUGAUUUUUGUGGUAAAUGGGGGAUUUUCAAAGAAAAAUGGAUUAUUUUCGCUAAAAUGAAGGAUUUUCAAAGAGUAAAUGAAUGAUUUUCUCUUAAAUUGGGGAUUUUCAAGGAGAAAAUGGGUGAUUUUUGCGUAAAUGAGGAAUUCUCGAAGGGAAAAUGGGUGAUUUUUGUGGUAAAUGGGGGAUUUUCAAAGAAACAAUGAAUUAUUUUCGCUAAAAUGAAGGAUUUUCAAAGAGUAAAUGAAUGAUUUUCGCUUAAAUGGGGGAUUUUCAAAGAGAAAAUGGGUGAUUUUUUGCGUAAAUGAGGGAUUCUCGAAGGGAAAAUGGGUGAUUUUGGGGUUAAAUGGGGGAUUUUCAAAGAGAAAAUGCAUGAUUUUCUAGUUAAAUGGAUAAUUUUCAAAGAGAAAAUGGUUGAUUUUUGCAUAAAUGGGGGAUUUUUGAAAAGAAAACGGGUGAUUUUUGUGGUAAAUGGGGGAUUUUCAAAGAAAAAUGGAUUAUUUUCGCUAAAAUGAAGGAUUUUCAAAGAGUAAAUGAAUGAUUUUCGCUUAAAUGGGGGAUUUUCAAAGAGAAAAUGGUUGAUUUUUGCGUAAAUGAGGGAUUCUCGAAGGGAAAACGGCUGAUUUUGGGGUUAGAUGGGGGAUUUUCAAAGAGAAAAUGCGUGAUUUUUGGGUUAAAUGGGAAUUUUUUUUAAGAGAAAAUGAGUGAAAUUCGCUUACAUCGGGUUUUUUCGAAGAGAAAAUGCAUGAUUUUGGGGUUAAAAGGGGGAUUUUUGAAGAGAAAAUGGGUGAUUUCUGCGUAAAUGACGGAUUCUCGAAGAUAAAAUGGUUGAUUUUUGCAUAAAUGGGGGAUUUUCGAAAAGAAAACGGGUGAUUUUGGGGUUAAAUAGGGGAUUUUCAAAGAAAAAAUGCAUGAUUGUUGGGUUAAAUGGGAAUUUUUUUAAGAGCAAAUGAGUGAUUUUCGGUUAAAUUGAGUUUUUUCGAAUAGAAAAUUCAUGAUUUUGAAGAUAAAUGGGGGAUUUUCAAAGAGAAAAUGGGUGAUUUGGGGGAUAAAUGGGGGCUUUUCAAAGAGAAAAUGGGUGAUUUUCUAGUUAAAUGGGGGGUUUUCAAAGAGAAAAUGGGUGAUUUUCGCUUAAAUCAGGCAUUUUUGAAGAGAAAAUGGGUGAUUUCUGCGUAAAUGAGGGAUUCUCGAAGUGAAAACAGGUAAUUUUUGUGGUAAAUGGGGGAUUUUCAAAGAAAAAAUGGAUUAUUUUUGCUAAAAUGAAGGAUUUUCAAAGAGUAAAUGAAUGAUUUUCUCUUAAAUGGGGGAUUUUCAAGGAGAAAAUGGGUGAUUUUUGCGUAAAUGAGGGAUUCUCGAAGGGAAAAUGGGUGAUUUUGGGGUUAAAAGGGGGAUUUUCAAAGAGAAAAUGGGUGAUUUUUGGGUUAAAUGGGGGCUUUUCAAAGAGAAAAUGGGUGAUUUUUGGGUUAAAUGGGGGGUUUUCAAAGAGAAAAUGGGUGAUUUUCGCUUAGAUCAGGGAUUUUUCGAAGAGAAGAUGGUUGAUUUUUGCGUAAAUGGGGAUUUUUUAAAAGAAAACAGGUAAUUUUCGCGUUAAAUAGGGGAUUUUUGUGGAAAAAAAUGCGUGAUUUUGGGGCUAAAUGGGAAAUUUUCAAAGAGAAAAUGAGUGAUUUUUGCUUACAUCGGGUUUUUUCGAAGAGAAAAUGCAUGAUUUGAGGGAUAAAAGGGGGAUUUUUGAUGAGAAAACAGGUGAUUUUUGUGCUAAAUGGGGGAUUUUCAAAGAAACAAUGGAUUAUUUUUGCUAAAAUGAAGGAUUUUCAAAGAGUAAAUGAAUGAUUUUCUCUUAAAUGGGGGAUUUUCAAGGAGAAAAUGGGUGAUUUUUGCAUAAAUGAGGGAUUCUCGAAGGGAAAAUGGGUGAUUUUUGGGUUAAAUGGGGGAUUUUCAAAGAGAAACUGCAUGAUUUUCUAGCUAACUGGAUAUUUUUCAAUGAGAAAAUGGGUGAUUUUUGCGUAAAUGAGGGAUUUUGAAAAGAAAACAGGUUAUUUUUGUGUUAAGUGGGGGAUUUUUGAAGAGAAAAUGCAUGAUUUUCUAGUUAAAUGAAUAAUUUUCAAAGAGAAAAUGGGUGAUUUUCAGGUUAAAUGGGGGACUUUCAAGGAGAAAAUGGGUGAUUUUCGCUUAAAUCAGGGAUUUUUGAAGAGAAAACAG